AUUGAACGCUGGCGGCAGGCCUAACACAUGCAAGUCGAACGAGUGGCGGACGGGUGAGUAAUGUCUGGGAAACUGCCUGAUGGAGGGGGAUAACUACUGGAAACGGUAGCUAAUACCGCAUACCAUCGGAUGUGCCCAGAUGGGAUUAGCUUGUUGGUGGGGUAACGGCUCACAAAGGCGACGAUCCCUAGCUGGUCUGAGAGGAUGACAAGCCACACUGGAACUGAGAAACGGUCCAGACACCUACGGGAGGACGCAGUGGGGAAUAUUGCACAAUGGGCGCAAGCCUGAUGCAGCCAUGCCGCGUGUAUGAAGAAGGCCGUCGGGUUGUAAAGUACUUUCAGCGGGGAGGCGUUACCCGCAGAAGAAGCACCGGCUAACUCCGGGCCAGCCGCCGGGUAAUU
rnacentral:rRNA from 1 species